CGACCUGCACGAAUGGCGUAACGAUGGCGGCGCUGUCUCCACCCGAGACUCAGUGAAAUUGAAAUCGCUGUGAAGAUGCAGUGUAUCCGCGGCUAGACGGAAAGACCCCGUGAACCUUUACUAUAGCUUUGCACUGGACUUUGAAUUUGCUUGUGUAGGAUAGGUGGGAGGCUUUGAAGCGUGGACGCCAGUCUGCGUGGAGCCAUCCUUGAAAUACCACCCUGGCAUGCUUGAGGUUCUAACUCUGGUCCGUUAUCCGGAUCGAGGAC
rnacentral:rRNA from 15 species